AUCAGUCUCUCACACGAGUUAAGGAACGUAUUCCUUAUAAUAGUAACAAACAACAAAACAAUCUUUUGUUUCAGUAAAUAGAAUGCAUCAAAACAACCUUGAGUUGGAACAACUGAAAUGCACUAUCACUAAAACAAACAAUCCCAAACAAAGAAGUAACAAAACAACAUUGAGUUUGAAUACCACGACAACCUUAUCUUAAAACAAAGAAAUUAUAUCUAAGCUAACAAUAUAUAUGUAAACAAACCUAAACAAAUAAUUAAUCUGUAUGUAGACAAACUAUCAACUAUUUAGUAAUAAGUAAAUAUACUAGUUAGUAUAAAUAGAAGUAAGAACGAUGUAAUAAGUCAGUCUUAAGAGUAUAAAUAAAGAGUACACAUUUCGGUGCAGCUCAAAAUAUAUUCUUUUGACUCAUUUUUACUUCUGGUAAAAAUUAACUGGGGGCUCAACCGGGAUGGCAAAUUUAUUUGCUAUCCAAAAAGCCAGAUUUUAUUCCGAAAGGACUAAAUCAAAAAAUUCCACAGGAAGUAGGACUUUCAGCACUAAAUGCCUGAAAAAAGUGCAGAAACAAAUGGCAAUGAAUCAGAUCCUGAAAAAACGGACAGCGGCGAAUUCAGCAAGGUUCACAACAGACCCUGGAACAGCGGACAGCGACAAUUCCUGAAAAAGUGGAACAAGGUAAAAAAGUAUAGGUCCUGAAAUAAUGGAUAAUACUUUCACCAAUAUUCGCAAUAGACCCUGAAAAAGCGGACAACGUUGAAUCCUGAAACAUUUUACAGUUAAUUAUAAGUUAGGAAGAAGCAAAGAUGCCCCAACUCCAAGCACAAGUAAACUGCAUUGAUGGUAAUUAUAAACAAGCAACAAGAGGAAUUUAUACAAAGAUUAUCCUCAAUCAAAAAGUGAAAAUUUCCACAAGCAACACCAAUUACCCAAAAAAGGCACCGAAAACAAGGCAAGCCAAAAUGGUAAAUUGUUGUUGAAUUCUAGAAAAUUAUCGCUAAUUCAAAACUAACUAAAAGGAAACGUUAUAUGUAACACGAAAAAAUCAUUAAGUAUAGAUAUGUAUUAAUUAUAAACAUAAAAAAUCAAACACAUACGAAAGGUAAAAAUGUUCACAAACACAGCCAAUAAUUCCAAAAAAAAGGCACCGAAAACAAUGCAAGCCAAAAAGGAAAAUGGUUGUUGAAUUGUAGAAAAUUGACGCUAAUUAAAAACUAAAUUAUAAGAAAAAAGAAAGUGGUUGAAUUGUAGAAAAUUUAAGCGAAUUAAAAAUUAAAUUAUAAUAGAAAAGAAAGCAUCAUAAGAAACAUGCAAAAACAAUAACAAGCCCAGAUGUUUUGAAAUGAGGACAUUUCAUUUUAACAUAGGGGAGAGUUAAGGAACGUAUUCCUUAUAAUAGUAACAAACAACAAAACAAUCUUUUGUUUCAGUAAAUAGAAUGCAUCAAAACAACCUUGAGUUGGAACAACUGAAAUGCACUAUCACUAAAACAAACAAUCCCAAACAAAGAAGUAACAAAACAACAUUGAGUUUGAAUACCACGACAACCUUAUCUUAAAACAAAGAAAUUAUAUCUAAGCUAACAAUAUAUAUGUAAACAAACCUAAACAAAUAAUUAAUCUGUAUGUAGACAAACUAUCAACUAUUUAGUAAUAAGUAAAUAUACUAGUUAGUAUAAAUAGAAGUAAGAACGAUGUAAUAAGUCAGUCUUAAGAGUAUAAAUAAAGAGUACACAUUUCGGUGCAGCUCAAAAUA